AUCUCUAGAGUGCUCUCAGCCUCACUGUCUGAGGGACUCCCACUGAGGUCUCCAAGGCAGCUGGAGCCCCGCCGUGAUGGAAGGGGACCGGCAUUGGGCCCGAGAAGACUGCAGGAUGCCCGGUCAGAGCCUCAGGCGCCUGGAACUGGAGGGCAGAGACUGGACGGGCAGGACUGGAGCUAACCCUGUCGCGCACCUUCCCCAAGCCUGACUCUGUGUUAAUAAGCACAUCAAUGGAUAACACAUUUAAUUCUCACAACCAUCCUGCAAGCUGACUAGGGCCUCCAGUACAUCGAGGAACAGAAGCACGGACACUGGGCACUGUCGUCCAGGUCCCAGACAUUCCUUACUCCUGUCUCCUACUCCUUCCUAGUCCCUGGACCCUUCAUCAGUGA